rnacentral:antisense_RNA from 1 species
CACCCGGUACGGCAUGGCCUCGGCGCGAGUCCACACGCCGAGGUCGAAGAACUGGCCGUCGCCGAUGACGUCGAGGAGCGCGUCCGCGCCGUACUGCCCGGCCGCACGCUUCUCCGCGCGCCCGUGCACGAUCACCCACAACCGGUCGGCCGGGGCGCCCUCCUGGGCCAGCAACUCGCCCGGCUCGAAGGUCACCUGCGUGAACGCGCCGGCCAGUUCCUCCAGCAGCGUGUCGUCCGCCUCUCGCAGAUACGGCAGUUCGCGGAGGUCUCCUGCGAUGACGCGCGGCGUGACGUCGUCGGUCGUGCUGAUGCGGUCGUCGCCGAGGACGUACGUACGGCGCCGGUUGACCCGGUAGACGCCGGACUCGACGUCCACCCAGGGCAGCGCGCGCAGCAGAUAGCGCGGCGUGAUGCCGCGCAUCUGCGGUGUCGUCUUGGUGGUGUUGGCGAGUUGCCGUGCGGCAUCCGGGCCGAGGCUCAACCGCUCGUUCAUG